rnacentral:lncRNA from 1 species
GCUCAAUAAAUGUAAUGCUUGAAUCAUCCUGAAACCAUCACCCAGUUCCAUGGAAAAAUUAUCUUUCAUGAAACUUGUGACAAAAUGUUUGGGGACACCUGCUCUAUGGGAUCAUCAGGCAAGGGCCCAACCUAAACUCUGUGAUGUGAAGAUUAUCCCUAGUUUCCUCUGGCUUAAGAGAGGAAAAAGAAGAAAAGGAUGUAAGAAUAUGAGUAUCUGUAAAUUAUGAUUAACAAUGACUUUCUUUUUCAUUGUAAAUAAACAAGUAUACAACACAGAUAU